UACGUAGGGUGCAAGCGUUGUCCGGAAUUAUUGGGCGUAAAGAGCUCGUAGGCGGUCUGUCGCGUCUGCUGUGAAAAUCAGGGCUCAACCCUGGACCUGCAGUGGGUACGGGCAGACUAGAGUGCGGUAGGGGAGAUCGGAAUUCCUGGUGUAGCGGUGAAAUGCGCAGAUAUCAGGAGGAACACCGGUGCGAAGGCGGAUCUCUGGGCCGUAACUGACGCUGAGGAGCGAAAGCAUGGGGAGCGAACAGGA
rnacentral:rRNA from 1 species